rnacentral:rRNA from 1 species
UACGAAGGGGGCUAGCGUUGUUCGGAAUUACUGGGCGUAAAGCGCGUGUAGGCGGGUCGUUAAGUCGGGGGUGAAAGCCCAGAGCUCAAUUCUGGAACUGCCUUCGAUACUGGCGACCUGGACCCAAGUAGAGGCGGGUGGAAUUGCGAGUGUAGAGGUGAAAUUCGUAGAUAUUCGCAGGAACACCAGUGGCGAAGGCGACUCGCUGGACUUGUGGUGACGCUGAGACGCGAAAGCGUGGGUAGCAAACAGG